GAUGAUGACGAUUAAGUGCAUAUAAUCACAACAACAAAAUACCAAGCAAAGGGGAGAAAAAGAAAACGGCAAUGCCAGCGAAGGCAACAACGACAACAAGAACAACAAAAGCUACUACAACACCACACACAUUGAAAUGAAACAAUUUUCUCUACCCUUUAGCUGCGUCUUUUUCGCAAAAAUACAGUCAGUCAGUAUGGAGCGCGACUUUGAAAUGAACGUUUGUUUGUUGGGCUGGUGUACUAUAUGCCAGGGGCCCAGCUAGGGACCCCUAUAACGUAGUAUCAUCUCCCACUAGUGUUUUUCAACAUACACACUUUAUAUGUACAGAUGGGUGUAUUUUGUGUUUUAAAAGAUUAUAAAAAAAGGAAUUAACAAAAACAAAACAUAACUUUAAAAAAAUAUCUUUGGUGUGAAUUGUUUACAAAAAAAAAAAAAUCAAACAAACGUCAAAUCUCCUGAGGAACAACAAUUAGACAAAACGAAUUGAAGUUUCGAAUUUGAUUUUUAUAAUCGCUGUUAACUUCUUUGAUUCUUUGACAAAACAAAGAUACAUCAUAACGAUGACAGCUUUUUGUAAUCGAUAAAUUUUUCGGUAAGUUAUGCAAAUACACUUAAGUCGUAAAGUUAAGUUUUU